CUUAACCUAUCGAUAUCGGAUUGGGCUAUAUCCGUUUGGUUAAUAUCCGAUAUCCGAUAGAAUUAGGGGUAUAAUUGUAAUUUUGUCAAUUCAAUCGAUUAUCAGUCAAUUCAGUCGAGAACCGAGUCAUUUCCUUUUCUUUUUUUCCUCCUCUUCUCUUCUCAGUUCUCGAUCACUCUCGAUCAAUCACUCACUCAGUUGCUUUGCUUAUCAAUCACUCACCCGCUCAAUCAGGUACUGAUUAUCUUCUAUUUCCAUGUUCGAUUUCUAUGUUUGAUUCUUAUGAAAUUAGGGUUUCAUAAUUAUGAGUUUCCAAAUUAGGGUUUCAUAAUUAUGAGUUUUCAUAAUUAUGAGUUUUCAAACUCAAUGAAGGCAAGAACUCUUGGAGUGAUUCAAUCUCACCUUGCAACGUAUCCAUUUUAUUUAUCUACGGAAAGCUAUCUAUCUCCGCUUAAGCCAGCAUCAAAGAAAAAUCUGCAGAAGAAAUUGGGGUUUCAUCAAUUUCAAAUACGGAAUCAAAUUUUGUGAUGGAGACGUUCCUCUUUAUUUGGGUCAAUGUUGACACCAAGGGGAAUAAAUUUUAGCUGUCUGCAACCCACUUACGGCUCAAGUGUGUCCACAAUAUAAUUGUUCUUGGCUAAUAUCUACAAAUUUUGUUGUUCAGGCCUUUGCAUUCAUUUCAAAUCCGAGAAUAAUCAUUAACCUCAUCUCAACUCAAUUGGUUUUUCAGGUGCUGGGUUUCUUUUUCGUCACGUGUCUUCUAUGUUUAGUGUGAAGGAAAAAUUGUUUAGGUACUGAUAUAUUUCAACUAAUAAGGCCUGAAAUGGAAUCAGAUUCAUUUGGCCCCUAAACUCAUAAUUAUGAAGGCCGAGAUAACGUAUGAUACUUUUAUGGUUAAUCGAACUCAGGUACUGAUCUCUUGUUGUUAAUGUUUAUUGCAGACUCCCAAGA